rnacentral:lncRNA from 1 species
AUUAUGUAUUUUCGUAUCAUAUAUUAAUAUUAAAAUAGAUGUUUACUUUGUUUUGAUUAGAUGCAUGCCAGACACAAGUAAAUGGGAAUGGUGGAACUGGUUGCUCUGUGUCCUUGCUGUAAUAUUUCUAGGGCCAAUUAUCUUAGUACUAGGAGUAAGUUAGCUUUAUUUGAUUGCUUUUACUUCUUUUCGAUUCGCUUUAAUUCCUGGUUUUAUAUCUAAACACUUUUUUAAAGUUCAAAUAUGAAAACAGCUUCAGAAGCAGCAACAUUUAAGAAAACAACAAAUGAGGAGAACGGCUAAUGCUCUAAAUGUAAAGACAUAUUUAAAAUAUCAUACCGACUACUGGGUCCUUUUAACAAAUAAGUAGCAUCUCUCUUAUUUCUAAAAUAUCUGUAUCCUUUCCAACAGCAAUUUGUCUAAAUAUCUGUGACAUUUAUUAACCUUACUUUGCACUUAUGACUCGGCUAUUGUAAGCUUUUUUUAUUUUACUAAAAUGUGUCCAUUGUUCAAAGAAAUACCAAUAUCCAGCAUAUAAAAGGAUUAGGCUUGAUUAAACAUUUAAGUUAAAAAUAUUUGUCUUUUCCUAUUCGUUUUAAAAAGACAAUUUCCUUAUCGGCCUUCUAAACUAGUUGACACUGAAUGUUCCUUGUAAAUAAAUUCAUUUCUGAUAUAAGAAUUUAACUCUAAUGUUAAAUAUAACAAUUUAACUCUAAUGUUAAUAUAUAUCGGUGUAUCCACGCAUAAGACUCUGCUGUUUUAGUGUAUCUAAAAUACAAUUAAAGUAUCUAUGAUAUAUAUACAACUUAUAUUUAUAUAUUUAUUUACAAACAUUCCUAAGAUAUCUAUCGUUAUUAUUUUUAAAAUUGUCAUAUAAACGGGAUGUUUGGAUAGCCAUUACACGAGUUUUAAGUCAUUAUUUUUUUUUCCGAAAACGUCCUGUAUCAAGUCAAGAUUGUUGUUAUCAAAUAGUUUCUUUCUAUGUUCGUUAGCGUUUGUUUUUGUUGUACGUCAGUGUUAUUGUUGUUCCAUUGUUUUCCUCUGAUAGUUGAUGUGUGUCUCUCGGUUUUAGUUUGUAACCCAUAUUUGUUUUCUCUCAAUCGAUCUAUGACUUUUAAUCACCGGUAUACUACCGAUGCCUUUAUUCAUCCUUUAUAUCAGGAUUAAAAUUAUGUACGGCAGACGCGCGAUUCAUCUUUAUUUGAAUCAUCAGUUUAGCUCGAUUCAAAUUGUUUUUUUUUUGGUUUUUUUUAUCGAAUUAUUAGUAUUUGAAAGAUGCAAAGUUUUGUUUACAGUUAUUUAAGAAUACAUGUAAAUGACGAUAUCAAUAAUAUUUCACGUCAACACAGAAUUGCCGACUUCUUGACUUCUUGACUUCUUGACCGUCGUGGAGAAACCUUCCAACAGCAGUGGCACCGAUCCAGUGAUUGUAAAAUAACUCAUCAUUGAUAUCAGGUUUAAAAUAUUGUACGACAUAUCCACAUAAAGAUAUAAGUAUAUACUAUUAAAUUAUUGAUAAACCUAUUAUCAUAUAGAUAUAAAAAGAUUGGGUAUGAGUUCCAAUGAGCCUAAAAAUCUCCAUCCAAGUCGCAAUUUAUAAAAGUAUAAUAGAAAUCUAUAUAGGUACAAGUACGGUCUUCAACAGAGAGCCUUGGUUCACACCGAACAGCAAGCUAUAAAGGGUUCCCCAAAAUAUACUAGUGUAAAACCAUUUAAACGGGAAAACCAACGGUCUAAUCUAUAGAAAAUUCUAUAGAAAAAACGAGAAACAGUUAUGAACCACAUAAAUAAAUGACAACAACUGAAUAUGUAUACAAUGCUUUUACAUUUGUAAUAAUGUUGAACUUCAUGAUAUUAGUAUAGAAAUAUUACUUUUAUAAUAACCUACAUUAUGCUAUUACAGUUGGUAUGUUGUAUUCUUCUGGGUGGUAACGGCGGUCAUGACCAUCACCACCAUUAAAGAUUAUCAAGGUAAAUAUCCUACUGGUUGUGUUUCCAAGAUAUACACGUAAUAAAAGGAAGAGCCAACAUCACUGGUGAUCAAUAUUAUACGUACGUAAAAAGAACAUAACACUAUUUGAAAAUAUACUUUCAGUUAUACACCAUUUUAUUUCAUUUAUGAUGAGAGAUACACAUGCUUACUCUUUAUAACACUAAGUAAAUAUACAACACUCACUGACUAAGAUUGUGUUUCGGAGGGCCAGAAGGGGAUCCGGUCAAUUUAAUAAAAGGGAGAGGGUUGUCCAACCAUAUUUCCCCAUACAAAAGUAUUAAUCGUUAAAAAUAUUGUGUUCCAACACCCGAACCCUCUUUGCCCCUUGGAUCCAUCUAUGAUUGCCAAAGUAAGAAUAUUUAGCUUUUACCUCUAAUGACAAGCCCGAACGAUCAUACAUCAGAGCACUUUGCUUAAUGUAUGCUAAAGUUUCAUGUUGAUAUGCUAAAAUAUUAAUAUAUGAAUUGAUACUCACUAUAUUGUGACAAAUCUGGACUGAUAAUUGUUAUUAUUUAACCUAUUAUUUAUUGUAUAUUACAUAUAUCUAUUUGAAUAUAUGCGGUGGUCAACUUCUCGGAGUGCACAAACACUUAUAAAUGAUUGACUUCAUACUCAUGAUUAACUAUUGUACUUUGCAAGUGAUAAGGGCCAGUGUUAUAUGUAUAUCUUGGUAAUGUUUACCUUAAAAUACUUUGAUUAUCCCGUCAUAUAGUGAUUAUUUUGACAAAUAUCGUCGUGAGAUUCAACUGUUUACAUCUGCCAUGACACCGUUUGUACUUUCCUUGCGAUCUCAUAUUAUUAUUUUUUAAGUUAACACUUUAUCAAUACAGAUUAUUGCGUAUUUAUUAGUUUGUGCCUCCUUUUCAUUAACAUGUGUUUAUUUAUGAUAGAACAGGGUUUUCAUUGAUCUCAUUUAAGCAUUAUAUCUAAUGCGUAUGGUUAUGUAAAUUACACCCAAGUUCAUACGCCGUACCGAGAAAGGAAUUUACUGUCCGUUUAAAUAUAGCAUUAUAUAGAAAUGUCCUUUUAGUUUUAUUUGCUUUACAACUUAAUAUUGUUUCUUUAUUUAAGAAUAACGAAAUCUGAUUGUCUUCUUGAACGUUUCAAGCCAAAAGACGUAAGAAACGUUGCUUUUGAUUGGACGAUUAGAUGUUUACUCUAACGUCAUAGUAAGCCAAAAGACAUAAAUAGGAGCCUGUAGACAACAUGUCUUCUGAAUCAAUCUCUUGAACCGUCAACUACCUUUUAUAUUGACACCGAUUUAUGCUUUAUUGUUGAAUGAUGAAUGUGUAUUGAUGUUUAUUAUAUUGAAAGAGAAGUCAAAAUACUACUAAAUAAAUAUCAUUUGAUUAUGUUUGUUACAAACUGUUUCUCCACAAUGACGUUGAUUCACUCUCCUGAAUGAUGAGUUAAACAGUUUUAUAGUAACCUAGGUUUGUUACAUAUACAAACAAAGCCACUUGCUUUCGAUUGUAAAUAAUGAUUCUGUAACAUAAAAUUUGCUCUUCCAUGAAUGCAACAAUGUGUCGGAAGAAACAAUGUGGACUUAUUGAGAAGGGAUAUAAUUACGAUACUGUUGUCAAGUCAUUAAAGAUUGCAUAUUUUGGCGUUAAUAUUGAGUCACUUAUAGGUUUUGCAUCGGAACUAAAAACAUUUAUUCUAAAACAGUUGUUGGCAUGACACGGUUAUGUUUUCUCUAUAUGUUAUGAUGGUAUGAUACUAAACCCCUAACGGGAAGGAUGUGCCUGAUGUUCAUAUGAUGAAAUUCAUAAUCUUUUCAGUCAGUUAAUUGAAGUCUGGAGCUGGCAUGUCAGUUAACUGCUAGGAGUCUGUUUUAUGUAUGUAUUAUUGUCAUUUUGUUUUUUCUUUUGGUACAUCUUCUGACAUCAGACUCGGACUCUCUUGAACUGAAUUUUAAUGUGCGUAUUGUUAUGCGUUUACUUUUCUAUAUUGGUUUAGAGUAUAGAGGAGGGUUGAGAUCUCACAAACAUGUUUAACCCCGCCGCAUUUUUGCGCUGUCCAAUCAGAGCUCUGUUCUAGUCUUGUAUUAUUUAAUUUUAGUUCUUGUGUACAAUUGGAAAUUAGAUGCGUUCAUUAUCACUGGACUAGUAUAUAUUUGUUAGGGGCAGCUGAAAGGACGCCUCCGGGCGGAAUUUCUCGCUACAUUGAAGACCUGUUGGUGACCCCUUAUUUGGUCGGGUUGUUGUCUCUACACAUUCCCCAUUCCAUUCUCAUUUUAUAAAAAAAAAACACUACAAGUCGUAUAGAAACUGAAAAAAAUAAAAAAAAAUACGACCUAAAGACAAACAGGGCCACAAAACACUACAAAAUAAAAUAAGUAAAAGACUGAGAAACAAGUACCCUACUAAAAACUGAUCGUGAUCUCAGGUUCUCCGGAAGGGUAGGCAGAUAUCUUCCACUAGUAGCACCCGUCAUGUUGUUGUGAGGUAACUACAAAUUUGGUGAUAGGUUUAGUUCGUGUUUUUGCACAAAAAUUACCUUUUAAUCUUCGGAUUAUUACUUAAAAUCAUAAAGAAUAAACCCAGUUAUGGAAAAUAUUUCAUUUCUUUAUCCACUUUCUUUAUUAGCAUAUAUUCAAAAUAAAGAACUCGUUGAUUCUUGUUUUUUAACAUCCAGCAAAUAUACCAACAUAUGAGUAUACAUGUGCAUGACAAGGAUGAAAGUGAAUCGCAAGUUAUCCUUGACUAGUUUUAAGGUGUGCAUAUUACUCAAGCGUAUUACCAGUUACAGAUUGUAUUGGAUACCAAGAGAUGUUUCUGGAAUUCUCGUGACAUAAAAAGAUUGUUCGAGUGAUUAAUUGAUGUCAAAUCUAUCCACUUGAAUUAUAAUACAUGCUUACAUGCAAAUUAAAAAUAAAGGUAAAUGUAAGUACUUGUUAUAACCUACUAAAUGUCUUUUUUUAUAGAUUGAUGAAAGUCUUCACUACAAAGAUUUCUCGUUCAUUGGUAGGAUCGCAAUCAAUGAAUACCUUAUUAUUGUAUUGAUACUAAAUCAAAGAUUGUAAAUAAUCAUCUCAUCAAAUUAUAGUUCUCUUUAUCAUCCUGUAUUGUUUGUUUGUCACUAAAGUUAUGUCUUUUAAUUGUCUUUUUAAUUAUUUUGACUGAUGAUAAUCAUACUAGAACGGUCAAGAAGAGGCGGAUGAUAUCAUGGAGACGUAUUAAAGAGAAAAAAAAGAGAAAAAUCGCCAUGACAAAAAACGAAAUUAAAACAUGAAAAGGCGAUUAAGUCCACACAAUACCACAUAGAAAACAAAAAAUGAAUAAAACGAACCCUAUCAAAGGUUGAACUAGGGUGCUUUCAAAGGAUAAACAGCCCUUUCAACCUUAAAACAUAAUGUAAAUAUCAUACGUUGGUCUUCAAAACUUGUGUUUGUUAUUUUCCUAUAUGCGUAUUUGGCCAUUAUUGAAGGUCAUACAAGGAAAUUUAAUUAUUACAUAAAUAAAUAUCUAUUUAUGUAUAUCUUUGCAUUCACUUCCCUUUUGACUUUCAAUUAUACAACAUCUGAGUUUCUUACUCGUACAAUAGUAAAUAUAUCUCAUCGAUUAAAUGAAGGCUUUGUAUUUACAAAUAUAAGAUUUUUUUUAUAGCAGGUACUUAAUAAAAUGUAUAAUUCAGUGUAAAAAAUACUCGUUCCACAAAGCAAGCAUAGUGAAUACUGAAUUGUAUUGUUAUAACAUACUAGUAUCAUAUUGAGACCUUGCAGGAAAAUAAAAAUUGUGGACAAAAAUGGGUAAUAGUACU